rnacentral:rRNA from 1 species
CCUACGGGAGGCAGCAGUGAGGAAUAUUGGUCAAUGGACGCAAGUCUGAACCAGCCAUGCCGCGUGCAGGAAGACGGCUCUAUGAGUUGUAAACUGCUUUUGUACGAGGGUAAACGCAGAUACGCGUAUCUGUCUGAAAGUAUCGUACGAAUAAGGAUCGGCUAACUCCGUGCCAGCAGCCGCGGUAAUACGGAGGAUUCAAGCGUUAUCCGGAUUUAUUGGGUUUAAAGGGUCCGUAGGCGGUCGGAUAAGUUAGAGGUGAAAUCCCGAGGCUCAACUUCGGAAUUGCCUCUGAUACUGUUCGGCGAGAGAGUAGUUGCGGUAGGCGGAAUGUAUGGUGUAGCGGUGAAAUGCUUAGAGAUCAUACAGAACACCGAUUGCGAAGGCAGCUUACCAAGCUACUUCUGACGUUGAGGCACGAAAGCGUGGGGAGCAAACAGGAUUAGAUACCCGGGUAGUC